CUGGGGAAACCCAGGCUAAUACCGCAUACGUCCUACGGGAGAAAGGGGGCUCCGGCUCCCGCUAUGGGAUGAGCCUAUGUCGGAUUAGCUAGUUGGUGAGGUAACGGCUCACCAAGGCCGCGAUCCGUAGCUGGUCUGAGAGGAUGAUCAGCCACAUCGGGACUGAGACACGGCCCGAACUCCUACGGGAGGCAGCAGUGGGGAAUAUUGGACAAUGGGGGCAACCCUGAUCCAGCCAUGCCGCGUGUGUGAAGAAGGCCCUCGGGUUGUAAAGCACUUUCAGUGAGGAAGAACGCCUAGCGGUUAAUACCCGCUAGGAAGGACAUCACUCGCAGAAGAAGCACCGGCUAACUCCGUGCCAGCAGCCGCGGUAAUACGGAGGGUGCAAGCGUUAAUCGGAAUUACUGGGCGUAAAGCGCGCGUAGGUGGCUUGAUAAGCCGGUUGUGAAAGCCCCGGGCUCAACCUGGGAACGGCAUCCGGAACUGUCAAGCUAGAGUGCAGGAGAGGAAGGUAGAAUUCCCGGUGUAGCAGUGAAAUGCGUAGAGAUCGGGAGGAAUACCAGUGGCGAAGGCGGCCUUCUGGACUGACACUGACACUGAGGUGCGAAAGCGUGGGUAGCAAACAGGAUUAGAUACCCUGGUAGUCCACGCCGUAAACGAUGUCGACCAGCCGUUGGGUGCCUAGCGCACUUUGUGGCGAAGUUAACGCGAUAAGUCGACCGCCUGGGGAGUACGGCCGCAAGGUUAAAACUCAAAUGAAUUGACGGGGGCCCGCACAAGCGGUGGAGCAUGUGGUUUAAUUCGAUGCAACGCGAAGAACCUUACCUACUCUUGACAUCCUGCGAAUUUGGUAGAGAUACCUUAGUGCCUUCGGGAACGCAGAGACAGGUGCUGCAUGGCUGUCGUCAGCUCGUGUUGUGAAGUGUUGGGUUAAGUCCCGUAACGAGCGCAACCCUUGUCCUUAUUUGCCAGCGCGUAAUGGCGGGAACUCUAAGGAGACUGCCGGUGACAAACCGGAGGAAGGUGGGGACGACGUCAAGUCAUCAUGGCCCUUACGAGUAGGGCUACACACGUGCUACAAUGGUCGGUACAAAGGGUUGCCAACUCGCGAGAGUGAGCUAAUCCCGAAAAGCCGAUCUCAGUCCGGAUCGGAGUCUGCAACUCGACUCCGUGAAGUCGGAAUCGCUAGUAAUCGUGGAUCAGWAUGCCACGGUGAAUACGUUCCCGKG
rnacentral:rRNA from 1 species